CCCAAUCUGCAAAUAAACCCCAGGCUGCUGCUCCUGGCCAAAAGCCAUCCUUCGUCCCAGGUUUUCUAUACUACAGUUCUGGUGCUCUGCUAUGUUACUUAUUUCAAAAAGUUACUGGGUUUCCCAAAAUCAACCAAGCAACAAACUCUUCCUGUCUCCAGAAUGACAGAUCUGCUACCCAGUAUUUUGAGAAGUAGAGCUUUUGUAAAUUGGACAGAGGCUAAAUUGACUUGGAGUUUUUUCAAACAGUCUUUCUUGAAACAGAUUUUGACAGAAGGUGAGUAAAAGGUUAUCCUGAGCA